UACAGAGGGGGCAAGCGUUGUCCGGAAUUAUUGGGCGUAAAGCGCGCGCAGGCGGUCCUUUAAGUCUGAUGUGAAAGCCCACGGCUCAACCGUGGAGGGUCAUUGGAAACUGGGGGACUUGAGUACAGAAGAGGAAAGCGGAAUUCCACGUGUAGCGGUGAAAUGCGUAGAGAUGUGGAGGAACACCAGUGGCGAAGGCGGCUUUCUGGUCUGUAACUGACGCUGAGGCGCGAAAGCGUGGGGAGCAAACAGG
rnacentral:rRNA from 1 species